rnacentral:rRNA from 1 species
UACGAAGGGGGCUAGCGUUGCUCGGAAUCACUGGGCGUAAAGCGCACGUAGGCGGACCAUCAAGUUGGGGGUGAAAUCCCGGGGCUCAACCCCGGAACUGCCUUCAAAACUGUCGGUCUGGAGGUCGAGAGAGGUGAGUGGAAUUCCGAGUGUAGAGGUGAAAUUCGUAGAUAUUCGGAGGAACACCAGUGGCGAAGGCGGCUCACUGGCUCGAUACUGACGCUGGAGGUGCGAAAGCGUGGGGAGCAAACAGG